rnacentral:rRNA from 1 species
UACGUAGGGGGCAAGCGUUGUCCGGAAUCAUUGGGCGUAAAGAGCGCGUAGGCGGUCCUGUAAGUCCGCUCUGAAAGUCCGGGGCUCAACCCCGGGAGGCGGGCGGAUACUGUCGGGCUAGAGUCCGGAAGAGGCGAGUGGAAUUCCUGGUGUAGCGGUGGAAUGCGCAGAUAUCAGGAGGAACACCGAUGGCGAAGGCAGCUCGCUGGGACGGUACUGACGCUGAGGCGCGAAAGCGUGGGGAGCGAACAGG